GAUUCCAUGGCCCAAUGGAUAAGGUGCUGGUCUACGAAACAAGAUAUUUUGGGUUCGACGAUCCCCAGUGGGGUCG
rnacentral:tRNA from 1 species